rnacentral:lncRNA from 1 species
CCGCUAGAAUCAGAAAACGAGAGAGAAAGAGAUCGAAUGAGGAGGAUGGCGAUGGGGAUGUUUAUUGGCUCGGUUGAUCUUCUAUAUUGCACCAUAAGGUAACCUCUCGUUCCAAUUAUCCUACUUGUGUUUGUUUUGCGAGCUUUGUAUGGGGCUCUCUUUGGUUCAGUUUGCGAUGAUAAAACCGUGGAGGUGCACGGUGGUACGUGGUGUUUGGUCGUGGAGAAAGAGAAGGGUGGUGGAAUCACGGUGGUGAUGAUGGUUAUGAUUGUAGUUAUGAUGGUGAUGGUGGUUGUGUACGGUAGUGUCGGUUUCCGUGGUGGCCGGUAUGUGUUCGGUGGUCAGGAGAUGUAAUGAUGGUGACGGGUGGAUGAUGGUGGUGGCUUCUGCGAUGGUGAGCAACGGUGGGUGACGGUGGCAAGGGUGUCUUGGUUGCCAAGUGGCGGUUCGACUAUGGUGACCGACUACGACGACGGUGAAGGCGAAUGACGGUUGACAAUGGCGAUGGCAUUGGAUAAGGUGAAGGUGUUCGGCAGUGGUUUGGGUGAAGGUGAUUAGCAAUGACGGUGACUGUAAAUGACGACGAUGGCAUCAGUCAGUUUGGUGAUGACAACGACGGGAGUGGCGUGCGGUUAAUAUUUCGGGUUAUGUUCAUAGGUGGUUAAUGGAGAUUACUUAUAAGAGUUCAUGAAUAUGAUGUUGACACAAGAAUCUAGUAGCUGGUUCUUUGUUGAUUUUGGUGGAAUUGUGAUUAAGUUACGGAUCCAUGGUGGUUCUAAUGGAGUGUGCAAGUGAUAACAUGGGGGUUAGUGUUCUGAUUUUGAGGGUUCUGUAUAAAUGGUGGCUAUUCAUGGAAUACAAAAUGGGGUGGGAGGAGAAUUAUGAUUAGCAUGCAUGAAUUAAAAACAAUAGUUAAAUAAUCAUAAAUUACAUCGAGUACAUACAUGCACCAUGGUGCAUGGGCUGAUAGAAUUGGCAUGCAUGGGAAAUAGAGUUAUUAUACUGAAAUGGGUGUGAUUUGAGGAAAUUUAUUAUAAAUUUUGACGGCCGAAGCAUGAAAGAUCUAUUAGAAUUAAUUUUGCAUGGCAUGGCAUGGCACCACAUUUAAAAGAAAGCAUUGUGUUGAUGGGAUGAGUCCAACAUGUCAAGUUAAUGGUUGCUGAAGGUAUACUAAGAUUCGCGCCUUCAGUCGUUUCUCUAGCUCUCAACGGUUCGUGCGCUUUAUUGAUGCUUUUUUGAGGACACGGUUUAAGACGGUUAGUCUGCGGGUUUGGAAGCUUUGCAACCUAUGAAAUGUUUGUUCGCAGAUAUGUAGUUCGGGUCGGUAGCACUCUUGGCAAACGGAUGGCAUAACUCGUGACCUGGAAGGCAGGCAUUCGUGAUGUUUUAAUCAAAUAAUGGUUUUUAAUUUUCAAAGAAAUUGGUACUGUUUUAAUCAAAUUUCCGCUGCGACUUUUUGAAAGAAUUAUUAUAUUUGUAAAUAGUACCCUGUGAUGUGGCCCGACUGUAGGGUGCCCGGUUUGGGGGCCUUUCAUCUACCCUCAAUUUGGUUCCAUAGCCAUGCUAUUGCAAAAUCAUUAAAUU